CCUACUGGUGGCAGCAGUAGGGAAUUUUCGGCAAUGGGGGGAACCCUGACCGAGCAACGCCGCGUUAACGAAGAAGUUAUUCGUAAUGUAAAGUUCUUUGAACAGGGAAGAAAGAGAAAUUUGACGGUACCUGAAGAAUAAGAUCCGGCUAACUAGGUGCCAGCAGCAGCGGUAAUACGUAGGGAGCGAGGGUUAUCCGGAAGUAUGGGGCGUAAAGGGUGCGUAGAAGGCAUAGUAAGUCUUUUGUCAAAAGGCUGGGCUCAACCCAGUAGGGCAAAAGAUACUGCAAAGCUAGAGUAUGACAGAGGCAAGUGGAACUACAUGUGUAGCGGUAAAAUGCGUAAAUAUAUGUAAGAACACCAGUGGCGAAGGCGGCUUGCUGGGUCGAUACUGACAUUGAGGCACGAAAGCGUGGGGAGCAAACAGGAUUAGAUACCCCGGUAGUC
rnacentral:rRNA from 1 species